UACGGAGGGGGCAAGCGUUAUUCGGAUUUAUUGGGCGUAAAGCGCGCGCAGGCGGUUCAGCAAGUCUGAUGUGAAAUCUCCACAGCUCACCUGGGAGACGCCAUUGGAAACUGCUGAACUUGAGGUCCGGAGAGGUCGGCGGAAUUCCCGGUGUAGCGGUGGAAUGCGUAGAUAUCGGGAAGAACACCAGUGGCGAAGGCGGCCGGCUGGACGGCACCUGACGCUGAGGCGCGAAGGCCAGGGGAGCAAACGGG
rnacentral:rRNA from 1 species